UGAGGUGGGAGCGGUUGGCCUGCUGGCCUCGCUGCUUGGCGAUUGGCUGCCAGAGACCCGGCUCUGCCAUUUCAGGGCUUUCGGUGCAAUCUCAGGGCCUGCCUGCAACUUCUCGUGCUGGCCCGCACUGGAGCCACAUCAUUGCGGGGCGUAGUGGUACACACCGGUCGUCCCAGAACUCGAUCCUGGUUCACACCCAGAGGAACAAGCUUAGUCCGGGGCAGCCACUGCCUGUCAGAGAAGGGAUACUUGGGUUUGAACUCCUUCCUUUGGACUGAAAUGGCUGCAACCCAACUUCCAGUGGGAAAACCUGUAAAGGCAUCCUGCAGCCUGCCUCCCAUCUGUAGGAAUGGUACCUGGUCCGGUCUGAGGCUGCACUGCUGCUGCUGCUGCUGCUGGACUCAGAGUCUGAGCUGCUUCGGGGAAGGUUGCAGUCAUUACGGUACACCAAGAAACUCUUCUUCACUGGCUGGUUCCCACUGCUGAAGCCAUUGGCUGGAGAUCUUCAGUAAAUACCAGACCUAUUUACUUCUAAAUCCCCAGUUCCUAGCAUGCAUUGGACUCCCAAGCCUGGGCAAAUACCAUGAAACCUGUGAAUAGCUGAAUGAGAAGACCACCAGAUUAGGAGUUGAGGAAGAUCAGAUUACGCAUUAAACGUUGCUUAUUGGGGCUACCUGAACGAUGUCCCGCUCUGCAUAGCGUCCCCUGGAGGAUACACGUACAUCAUCACCAUCCAGCUCUUCCAUGGCAAUACCAGGUAAGAGCACAGCAAGAGGGCAUCCCUCUUACAGGACAGAGAACAGCUUUUAGUGAGCAGCCACUGGAGAGACACUGAGAAUUUUCAAGAAUGAACACAUGUGAAAUUCUUACCCGAGGUAAAGUCAAAGAAUAGGUUAUAUAAAAUAGCCAUUCAGCUCUUGC
rnacentral:lncRNA from 1 species